UCCCAUUGAGGGAACUUCCACAUCUCUUUCCUCCUGUCCUAGUCCCAGAGCUUAUAAAGAUGAACCCACAGGGGCUGGCUGAGAGAGAGGAGGAAAGUUUGUUCCAGAAGGAACUAUCUGAGGGAU